GAUGAGCGCUAGCGGCAGGCCUAAUACAUGCAAGUCGAGGGAGAAUGUUGGAUUCGUCUGGCAUGAAACCGGCACACGGGUGCGUAACACGUAUGCGACCUACCUUUAACUGGGGUAUAGCUCAGAGAAAUCUGAAUUAAUCCCCCAUAAGACUACGACAUGGCAUCAUGAUGUAGUUAAAGCUCCGGCGGUUAAGGAUGGGCAUGCGGUACAUUAGCUAGUUGGUGAGGUAAUGGCUCACCAAGGCUACGAUGUAUAGGGGGUCUGAGAGGAUGAUCCCCCACACUGGUACUGAGACACGGACCAGACUCCUACGGGAGGCAGCAGUAGGGAAUAUUGGUCAAUGGACGCAAGUCUGAACCAGCCAUGCCGCGUGAAGGAUGAAGGCCCUAUGGGUCGUAAACUUCUUUUAUUAGGGAAGAAAAAACGGGAUGCGUCCUGUACUGACGGUACUUAAUGAAUAAGGAUCGGCUAACUUCGUGCCAGCAGCCGCGGUAA
rnacentral:rRNA from 1 species